AGGGGAUUGUAUAGAGGGUUUGGGAUAUCCAUUUUGACAUAUGCCCCAUCAAAUGCGGUUUGGUGGGCUUCAUACUCUGUUGCUCAGAGGAUGGUUUGGGGGGGUGUGGGUUGUUACAUUUACAAGAAAGAUGAAGAUGGGAAUGAGAAUGGGUUCAAUGCAUUGAGACCAGAUUCAAAAACUGUAAUGGCAGUUCAGGGAGUCAGUGCAGCGAUGGCAGGUGGUUUUUCAGCUUUAAUUACAAUGCCACUUGAUACAAUUAAGACCAGAUUGCAAGUUUUGGAUGGGGAGGAGAAUGGGAGGCGUGGACCAACUAUUGGGCAGACUAUUAGAAAUCUGGUUAGGGAAGGUGGUUGGACGGCUUGUUACAGGGGAUUGGGGCCUCGCUGGGCUUCAAUGUCUAUGUCUGCAACAACAAUGA
rnacentral:misc_RNA from 1 species